CCUACGGGAGGCAGCAGUGAGGAAUAUUGGUCAAUGGACGAGAGCCUGAACCAGCCAAGUAGCGUGAAGGAUGACUGCCCUAUGGGUUGUAAACUUCUUUUAUAUGGGAAUAAAAUGUUCCACGUGUGGGAUUUUGUAUGUACUAUAUGAAUAAGGAUCGGCUAACUCCGUGCCAGCAGCCGCGGUAAUACGGAGGAUCCGAGCGUUAUCCGGAUUUAUUGGGUUUAAAGGGAGCGUAGGUGGAUUGUUAAGUCAGUUGUGAAAGUUUGCGGCUCAACCGUAAAAUUGCAGUUGAAACUGGCAGUCUUGAGUACAGUAGAGGUAGGCGGAAUUCGUGGUGUAGCGGUGAAAUGCUUAGAUAUCACGAAGAACUCCGAUUGCGAAGGCAGGUGUCCGGGGUGCAACUGACGCUGAGGCUCGAAAGUGCGGGUAUCAAACAGGAUUAGAUACCCCAGUAGUC
rnacentral:rRNA from 1 species